rnacentral:rRNA from 1 species
UACGUAGGGCGCAAGCGUUGUCCGGAAUUAUUGGGCGUAAAGAGCUCGUAGGCGGUCUGUCGCGUCCGUUGUGAAAACCCGAGGCUUAACCUCGGGCCUGCAGUCGAUACGGGCAGACUAGAGUUCGGUAGGGGAGACUGGAAUUCCUGGUGUAGCGGUGGAAAUGCGCAGAUAUCAGGAGGAACACCGGUGGCGAAGGCGGGUCUCUGGGCCGAUACUGACGCUGAGGAGCGAAAGCGUGGGGAGCGAACAGG